rnacentral:rRNA from 1 species
GACGAACGCUGGCGGCGUGCUUAACACAUGCAAGUCGAACGGAAAGGCCCUGCUCUUGUGGGUUGCUCGAUUGGCGAACGGGUGAGUAACACGUGAGUAAACUGCCCCUGACUUUGGGAUAACUUCAGGGAACUCGGGCUAAUACCGGAUAGGAGCUCCUGCUGCAUGUUGGGGGAUGGAAAGAUUCGGCGGUUGUGGAUAGACUCGAGGCUUAUCAGCUUGUUGGUGGGGUAGUUGCUUACCAAGGCUUUGAAGGGUAGCCGGCCUGAGAGGGUGACCGGCCACAUUGGGACUGAGAGAGGGCCCAGACUCCUACGGGACGCAGCAGUCGGGAGUCUUGCAGAACGGGCGGAAGCCUGAUGCAGAAACGCCGCGAGCGGGAUACCGUCCUUCGGGUUGUAAACAGAUUUCGAAGUUGCUGUACAGAGCGUGACGGUAAUGGGUCAAGAAGCCCCGGCUAACUACGUG